rnacentral:rRNA from 1 species
CGACGCCGCGUGAGGGAUGACGGCCUUCGGGUUGUAAACCUCUGUUAGCAUCGAAGAAGCGAAAGUGACGGUAGGUGCAGAGAAAGCGCCGGCUAACUACGUGCCAGCAGCCGCGGUAAUACGUAGGGCGCGAGCGUUGUCCGGAAUUAUUGGGCGUAAAGAGCUUGUAGGCGGUUGGUCGCGUCUGCUGUGAAAGGCUGGGGCUUAACCCUGGUUUUGCAGUGGGUACGGGCUAACUAGAGUGCAGUAGGGGAGACUGGAAUUCCUGGUGUAGCGGUGGAAUGCGCAGAUAUCAGGAGGAACACCGAUGGCGAAGGCAGGUCUCUGGGCUGUAACUGACGCUGAGAAGCGAAAGCAUGGGGAGCGAACAGGAUUAGAUACCCUGGUAGUCCAUGCCGUAAACGUUGGGCACUAGGUGUGGGGGACAUUCCACGUUUUCCGCGCCGUAGCUAACGCAUUAAGUGCCCCGCCUGGGGAGUACGGCCGCAAGGCUAAAACUCAAAGAAAUUGACGGGGGCCCGCACAAGCGGCGGAGCAUGCGGAUUAAUUCGAUGCAACGCGAAGAACCUUACCAAGGCUUGACAUAUACUGGACUGCGUCAGAGAUGGCGUUUCCCUUCGGGGCUGGUAUACAGGUGGUGCAUGGGUUGUCGUCAGCUCGUGUCGUGAGAUGUUGGGGUUAAGUCCCGCAACGAGCG